UACAGGGGGUGCAAACGUUGCUCGGAAUUAUUGGGCGUAAAGCGCGCGUAGGCGGCUACUUAAGUCGGAUGUGAAAGCCCCUGGCUCAACUGGGGAAGUGCACCCGAAACUGAGUGGCUUGAGUACAAAAGAGGGUCGCGGAAUUCCCGGUGUAGAGGUGAAAUUCGUAGAUAUCGGGAGGACCACCAGUGGCGAAGGCGGCUUGCCAGAACGCGCUCGACGGUGAGGGAUGAAGCUGGGGGAG
rnacentral:rRNA from 1 species